CACUGAUUGGCUGCUUGCAGUUGGCAGGACACAAGAAAUCUUAAGCAAAACUAAAUAAAAUUUUAUUCACUUUGGGGUCUCCCCACAAAUCAUAUGGGAGCCAUAAGAAGUAGAGUCUCUUAGCAAGCAUCUUUCCCAAAAUUUGUAUGCUCUUUUCCAUUGAACAUUUACAAGGAGAUAAGUCGUACCAUCAGAGUCUCUUGAAUUGUGUAAUGAAGUACAGUAAAUGUGUGAGGCAUUGGCAUACGUGGAUCUACGUAAUUUCCUUUUGUGUAAAUUAUUAUUGAUUUGGAGUGGAAACUUAAAUCGAUUUACUUCUACUCGGAGUCGCUUACGCUUACAUUGCUGCCACAUUUAUAUAAAGAAUUAUUUUCAUUAUCGGAUUCCUGAAAGAAGAGUUAAGCAAAAGCUGUUAAUAUUCGUAUUCCACUGUCUGUUACGAAGGUGCUCGGCCUCCUGGCGGCCCAACCUCAAACCUAGCCAGAUGAGCCGUAAAGUGUAGCUGAAUGUGCCGUAAUCAAGAAAGAUAAUAUAAAUUUUGACUCAGAAUAACUAAAAGAUCCAAACUAUUAUCCAUACCUUGAAUGAUAAGAUAAGCUAGUGACUAUGUUUUAAAUUACUCAGAACGAAAAAAUCAACCCAGCGUUACCCACCUCUAGCCCAAUUGACCGAGGAUCGCGUCUGAGGUGUAAUUGAAAAGUUCAACAGACAGGUUACCGAAAACCAGUGAUACUCCGGACUCUAUAUCUGAAACCGAUUGCGGAAAGUCGCGGUUACACUUGCCUCUUACAUUAAACAGCUACAGAUUUUUUCAUCAGUUGCUAUAAAAUCACAUGCGUGCUGCUAUAAAAUACU